rnacentral:rRNA from 1 species
UCAAGCUACAAAGAGCGCAAGGGGAAUGCCUUGGCACCAGGAGCCGACGAAGGACGCAGCAAUCUGCGAAAAGCCACGGGGAGCCGAAAGCAGGCAUCGAUCCGUGGAUGUCCGAAUGGGGAAACCCGGCUGAGUGAAGCUCAGUCAGCGUACACUGAAUCCAUAGGUGUGCGUGGGGAACCGCCUGAACUGAAACAUCUAAGUAGGGCGAGGAAAAGAAAUCAACCGAGAUUCCGCAAGUAGUGGCGAGCGAACGCGGAAGAGGCCAAACCGGCUGUAGAAAUAUGGCCGGGGUAAGGACAGCAAAAUGUAUGUUGGACCCUAGCAGAAGGGCAUGGGACGGCCCACCACAGAGAGUGAUAGUCUCGUAUGCGAAAGGGAAAAACAGCAGGCUGUAUCCAGAGUACCACUGGACACGUGAAACCCGGUGGGAAUAUGGGGGGACCACCCUCCAAGCCUAAAUACUCCCUGGUGACCGAUAGUGAAGAGUACUGUGAAGGAAAGGUGAAAAGAACCCCGGGAGGGGAGUGAAAAGAACCUGAAACCUUGUGCUUACAAGCACACAGAGCACGUCAAGGUGUGAUGUGGUACCUUUUGUAGAAUGGUCCGGCGAGUGAAUGUAACGAGCAAGGUUAAGCACUUUAGGUGUGGAGCCGAAGCGAAAGCAAGUCUGAAUAGGGCAUCAAGUUCGUUGUAUUCGACCCGAAACCGGGUGACCUAGCCAUGUCCAGGCUGAAGUGAAGGUAAAACUUCAUGGAGGGCCGAACCCACUCCCGUUGAAAUGGUAGGGGAUGAGGUGUGGCUAGCGGAGAAAUUCCAAUCGAACCCGGAGAUAGCUGGUUCUCUCCGAAAUAGCUUUAGGGCUAGCCUCGACUGAACAUUACCGGAGGUAAAGCACUGAAUGGGCUAGGGGCCGAGAGGUUACUGAACCCUAUCAAACUAAGAAUGCCGGAUAAUGAUAGUCGGGAGUCAGACAGUGUGAGAUAAGUUUCAUUGUCGAAAGGGAAACAGCCCAGACCCACAGCUAAGGUCCCAAAGUAUCGUUAAGUGGAAAAGGAUGUGGAACUGCCCAGACAACCAGGAUGUUGGCUCAGAAGCAGCCAUACAUUCAAAGAGUGCGUAAUAGCUCACUGGUCGAGUGGUUCUGCGCCGAAAAUUUAACGGGGCUAAACGAUACACCGAAGCUUGGGAUGCAGCAUUGGCUGCAUGGUAGGAGAGCGUUCUGUACGGGGUGAAGUCAUAGCGGAAGCGGUGGUGGACUGUACAGAAGAGAGAAUGCCGGAAUGAGUAGCGAGAUUUAUGUGAGAAUCAUAAAGGCCGAAAGACUAAGGAUUUAGAAGGAAGGUUCGUCCGCUUCUAGUUAGCCGGGAGCUAAGGCGAGGCCGAAAGGCGUAGUCGAUGCACAUACGGUGGAGAUUCCGUAGCCGCCUCUUAAUUUAAGCAAAGGGACACUUUCAAAGGGAAUGACCCGGGCGUUGGUAGCCCCGGGCGAAAGGGACCGAAAUUAGAGUAGGGAAGCAUUUCUGGAGGAAGGCGAGAAAAGCUUUGCGGAUAGAGAGAGGCGCCCGUACCGCAAACCGACACAGGUAGUCAGGAAGAGGAUUCUAAGGCCAACGGGAGAAGGGUAGUUAAGGAACUCGGCAAAUUGACCCCGUAACUUCGGAAUAAGGGGUGCUCCUGAAAAGGAGCCGCAGUGAAUAGGCCCAGGCGACUGUUUAUCAAAAACACAGCUCUCUGCUAAAUCGAAAGAUGAAGUAUAGGGGGUGACACCUGCCCGGUGCUGGAAGGUUAAGAGGAAGGGUGCAAGCUCUGAAUUGAAGCCCCAGUAAACGGCGGCCGUAACUAUAACGGUCCUAAGGUAGCGAAAUUCCUUGUCGGGUAAGUUCCGACCCGCACGAAUGGUGUAACG